GUCUAGGGCCAUACUACCCAGAACGUGCCCAAUCUCAUCUGAUCUCAGAAGCUAAGCAGGUUUGGGCCUGGUUAGUACUUGGAUGGGAGAAGUUGAAACCCCCAAAGGGAAGUGUGUUGAUAGUUGUGAUUU
rnacentral:rRNA from 1 species